rnacentral:rRNA from 1 species
UAGUCAUACGCUUGUCUCAAAGACUAAGCCAUGCAUGUCUAAGUAUAAAUGAUAUACAGUGAAACUGCGAAUGGCUCAUUAAAACAGUUAUAGUUUAUUUGAUAAUCAAAUUUACAUGGAUAACCGUGGUAAUUCUAGAGCUAAUACAUGCUGGUUAGCCUGACUUCAAGGAAGGGCUGUAUUUAUUAGAUAACAAACCAAUAUUCCUCGUGUCUAUUGUGAUGAUUCAUAAUAACUGAUCGAAUCGCAUAGUCUUUGGCUGCGAUACGUCAUUCAAGUUUCUGCCCCAUCAGCUUUCGAUGGUAGUGUAUUGGACUACCAUGGCUUUAACGGGUGACGGAGGAUUAGGGUUCGAUUCCGGAGAGGGAGCCUGAGAAACGGCUACCACAUCUAAGGAAGGCAGCAGGCGCGUAAAUUACCCAAUCCUAAUUCAGGGAGGUAGUGACAAGAAAUAACGGACUGAGCCUUUGGUUCAGGAUUGCAAUGAGUAGAAUUUAAACCCCUUUACCAGGAUCAAUU